UACGUAGGGGGCUAGCGUUGUCCGGAUUUAUUGGGCGUAAAGAGCUCGUAGGCGGCCUGUUGCGUCCGCUGUGAAAGCCCGGGGCUUAACCCCGGGUCGGCAGUGGAUACGGGCAGGCUAGAGGUAGGUAGGGGAGAAUGGAAUUCCCGGUGUAGCGGUGAAAUGCGCAGAUAUCGGGAGGAACACCGGUGACGAAGGCGGUUCUCUGGGCCUUACCUGACGCUGAGGAGCGAAAGCGUGGGGAGCGAACAGG
rnacentral:rRNA from 1 species